AUAAAAGUUCUUUGAGGGGCAGAAGGAGGCUGGGCAAAGCUGGAGGGGAGGGACAGAGUCCCAGAACCCUUGUGAGGAAAGCGUCCCUGAGCACUUUCCCUGGAGUGGGUGAGGAGGGGCCAGGACAGUUCUGCAUUCUCCGUGGUGCCUGAGGGCCUCAGUGCCUGGUGGUUCAGUGAGAGGAUGAGCUGAACUCUGUGACCCUCACACCCAGGUUUGCCUUCCAGAAAGGCCUCUCAUGGCUCUGGUAGCACCAGGAUGAGGCUGGGGUGUGGGAGUGGCAUGGACAGUUGAGGUGGGCUGCAUCCUGACCCGGCUUCUGGCUGGGGCUGGAGGUGACAGUGCCAGGCUGGGGAAAGAGCCUGCCGGGGGGAUGCAGGCCUCGGGAUGGGCUACAGGUCUGGCAUACGUGGCUGUGCCCCUCUGCCUCAGCUUUCCCAGCUUCCUCCUCCUGGACGUGAAUGGGUGGCUGGCCCUGCCCCAGGGCUUCAAGUAGUGGGCCCUGGGUGUAGGGGAGAGGGCUGCUCCUCAGGGUGUUCUGGGGUCUGGGUAGCCCCCUGAGGCGGGGCAGGCUAGUCCUGUGGAGCCCACACUCACUGGGACCCUCUGCAGGUGUGUCGGCCCAGUCCUUCCUCCACUGUUUCACAAUGGCCAGCACCGCCUUCAACCUGCAGGUGGCCACCCCUGGGGGGAAAGCCAUGGAAUUUGUGGAUGUGACUGAGAGCAAUGCACGCUGGGUGCAAGACUUCCGCCUCAAGGCCUAUGCCAGCCCCGCCAAGCUGGAGUCCAUUGAUGAGCCCAUCUGCGCCGUUGGCCAUGGUGUCGCCGCCUUGUGCUGUGCUACCAACGAGGACAGAUCCUGGGCGUUCCACGGCUACAGCCUGACAGGGGUGAGUGCCUGGAGGACAGGCACCCUGUGCUCCCUGCUCUGUCCUCCCCCACAACAGCCAGAGAUGAGGACGGAGACUCCAGAACUUCUGGCCCCUAGUCUCCUGGAAGCCUGGGCCCACUCACCAGGGGACGUGGGGAGGGAGGGGCAUCAGACCUGUGUGUGCAGUCGGAGGGGCUGCGAGUCCAGCCAGGCUGUCCUCGGAGACACAGCCUGUGUCGAUCUGAGGACCAGAGACUGUGAAGUGGGCCCAGUGGACACCGGGGACGGCUGUGGGAGCAGCUGAUGCACAGGCCCUGAGGUAGGGAGUGGUGGCUGCUGUGCUGAGGCUGGUUUCACUGGACGUUAAACUGGCCCCCAGCUCAGAUGUCACUUUCCCUGCUGAGGGGACCCCUCCUCAGUGGGUACUCAGUGCUGCCCCCGAGGGGUGACACUAACCCAGUCUCGGUUACAAGUGGGCGUGAUCCCUCCAGUGAGUGGUUACAUUCACUCCUACCCAGAGGGUGCCCUGCCCCAAGGGGCUCACCCCACUAAACCCUUCUCAUUCUAGUCACCUGUGUGCUCUGGUGCCGGGGGAGCUGGCCCCUCCUCCUGUAGUGGCCUUGUCGCUCUCAGGGACUCCCCGUGGGAAGGUGGCUGGACUUCGUCAUCUCUCCGGCCUCCAGCCCUAGCAGCUGUCCCUGUUAUGAGCAGUGACACCCCCAGUCCCACUUGGUUGGGUGAGGCUCCCGGCCCUGAUUUGACCUUCCUGACCCCCGGGGUGGGCCUCAGGGCCUGGGCCUGGCUCAGGAGCCCCCACUCCCCUCUCGCAGCCCUCUGUGUGUGAGCUCGUCAGGGCCCCCGGCUUCGCCCGCCUGCCGCUCGUGGUGGAAGACUUUGUGAAGGAUUCGGGCGCCUGCUUCAGUGCAAGUGAGCCUGACGCCGUGCACGUUGUGCUGGACCGCCACCUGGUCACGGGCCAG